rnacentral:rRNA from 1 species
GAGUUUGAUCCUGGCUCAGAUUGAACGCUGGCGGCAUGCCUUACACAUGCAAGUCGAACGGCAGCACGGGAGCUUGCUCCUGGUGGCGAGUGGCGAACGGGUGAGUAAUGCAUCGGAACGUAUCCUGGAGUGGGGGAUAACGUAGCGAAAGUUACGCUAAUACCGCAUAUUCUGUGAGCAGGAAAGCGGGGGACCUUCGGGCCUCGCGCUCUUGGAGCGGCCGAUGUCGGAUUGGCUAGUUGGUGGGGUAAAGGCUCACCAAGGCGACGAUCCGUAGCAGGUCUGAGAGGAUGAUCUGCCACACUGGAACUGAGACACGGUCCAGACUCCUACGGGAGGCAGCAGUGGGGAAUUUUGGACAAUGGGGGCAACCCUGAGUCCAGCCAUGCCGCGUGAGUGAAGAAGGCCU